GGGGGAAUAUUGCACAAUUGGCGCAAGCCUGAUGCAGCCAUGCCGCGGGUAUGAAGAAGGCCUUCGGGGUUUAAAGUACUUUCAGUCGGGAGGAAGGUGGUAAGGUUAAUAACCUUAUCAAUUGACGUUACCGACAGAAGAAGCACCGGCUAACUCCGUGCCAGCAGCCGCGGUAAUACGGAGGGUGCAAGCGUUAAACGGAAUUACUGGGCGUAAAGCGCACGCAGGCGGUUGAUUGAGUCAGAUGUGAAAUCCCCGGGCUUAACCCGGGAAUUGCAUCUGAUACUGGUCAGCUAGAGUCUUGUAGAGGGGGGUAGAAUUCCAUGUGUAGCGGUGAAAUGCGUAGAGAUGUGGAGGAAUACCGGUGGCGAAGGCGGCCCCCUGGAAAAAGACUGACGCUCAGGUGCGAAAGCGUGGGGAGCAAACAGG
rnacentral:rRNA from 1 species